GGCUCUGUGGCGCAAUGGAUAGCGCAUUGGACUUCUAAUUCAAAGGUUGUGGGUUCGAGUCCCACCUGAGUCG
rnacentral:tRNA from 1 species